rnacentral:rRNA from 1 species
UACCCGCAGCACAAGUGGUGGUCAUUAUUAUUGGGCCUAAAGCGUCCGUAGCUGGCCUGUUAGUUGCCUGGGUAAAUCGAUGCGCUCAACGCAUCGAACUCCGGGUAGACCGGCAGGCUUGGGACCGGGAGAGGCGUGAGCUACUCGAGGGGUAGGGGUAAAAUCCUGUAAUCCUUCGGGGAGGACCAGUGGCGAAGGCGUCACGCUAGAACGGCUCCGACAGUGAGGGACGAAGCCCUGGGGCGCAAACCGG